GACGAACGCUGGCGGCGUGCUUAACACAUGCAAGUCGAACGAUGAAGAAGAGAAACGCGAACUUCGGUUCAACUUUCACUUCGGAUUAGUGGCAGACGGGUGAGUAACGCGUGAGCAACCUACCUCUUACAAAGGGAUAGCCUCGGGAAACCGUGAUUAAUACCAUAUGACACAUUCAUAAGGCAUCUUAAGAAUGUUAAAGCUACGGCGGUAAGAGAUGGGCUCGCGUCCCAUUAGCUAGUUGGUGAGGUAACGGCCCACCAAGGCGACGAUGGGUAACCGGCCUGAGAGGGUGAACGGUCACAUUGGAACUGAGACACGGUCCAAACUCCUACGGGAGGCAGCAGUGGGGAAUAUUGCACAAUGGAGGGAACUCUGAUGCAGCGACGCCGCGUGGGCGAUGAAGGAAUUCGUUUCGUAAAGCUCUGUUCUAUGGGAAGAAAAGGACUGUACCAUAGGAGAAAGCCCCGGCUAAAUACGUG
rnacentral:rRNA from 1 species